CCCCUAGAUGUUCUGGGCCGCACGCGCGCUACACUGAACAGUUCAACAAGUCUUAACCUUGGCCGAUAGGUCUGGGUAAUCUUUGAACGCUGUUCGUGAUUGGGAUAGACCUUUGCAAUUAUGGGUCUUCAACGAGGAAUUCCUAGUAAACGCAAGUCAUCAGCUUGCAUUGAUUACGUCCCUGCCCUUUGUACACACCGCCCGUCGCACCUACCGAUUGAAUGGUCCGGUGAAGCCUCGGGAUUGUGGCUGGUUUCCUUUAUUGGAGGUCGGUCGCGAGAACUUGUCUAAACCUUAUCAUUUAGAGGAAGGUGAANUCGUANCA
rnacentral:rRNA from 1 species